rnacentral:rRNA from 1 species
GAUAACGGCGUCGAGCGGCGGACGGGUGAGUAAUGCCUAGGAAAUUGCCCUGAUGUGGGGGAUAACCAUUGGAAACGAUGGCUAAUACCGCAUGAUGCCUACGGGCCAAAGAGGGGGACCUUCGGGCCUCUCGCGUCAGGAUAUGCCUAGGUGGGAUUAGCUAGUUGGUGAGGUAAGGGCUCACCAAGGCGACGAUCCCUAGCUGGUCUGAGAGGAUGAUCAGCCACACUGGAACUGAGACACGGUCCAGACUCCUACGGGAGGCAGCAGUGGGGAAUAUUGCACAAUGGGCGCAAGCCUGAUGCAGCCAUGCCGCGUGUGUGAAGAAGGCCUUCGGGUUGUAAAGCACUUUCAGUCGUGAGGAAGGUGGUGUAGUUAAUAGCUGCAUUAUUUGACGUUAGCGACAGAAGAAGCACCGGCUAACUCCGUGCCAGCAGCCGCGGUAAUACCGAGGGUGCGAGCGUUAAUCCGAAUUACUGGGCGUAAAGCGCAUG